rnacentral:lncRNA from 1 species
UCCUGACUGCCACAAAUUUCAAAAUAAGGGCAACUUGCACUACCAUAAGUUUCAAAAUACACAUUCUCACUACCAUAACUUACACAUUGUCACUACCAUAACAAUAUUUUUGCUGUACAUCCUUUGGUCAAUAAUUAUGAAAUAAUAGGUUCUAGUGCUUAAAAAUUAUGAAAUUGUUUCUGAAACUACCUAACUCAAGUGAAAACAUUUUUGAAGAAACCCCAUUGCCAAAUUCAAAGCCAUUACUUUUAUAAAAUUUCAUCACUGAAACUGUUUUAAUCAAAACAAAAUUUCUACUGUGGUUGAAUUAAAAAAUUAUUUUAGACAUGUUCCCAAGACUUUUCCUAAACGAACAUUUUUGUAACAAAUCCUAACAUACUAAAUAUUACUAGAAAAUUUAAUUUCCUUAAAAACUCAAGUUUAUCACGCGGUUAGAAAUUAUAUACCAAAGUUUCCAAAACUAUUUUUCCCAGAAUCAACUGCUUUACAGGUCUUUAGUUCAACAAUUUUUAGAGUACACAAAUGUAAUAGAAAAUUACAAUAAUUUUUUUGUGAUGGUAACUAGCAUGUCCAAAAACACUAGAAAAAUUAAUUUGCUCAAAACUUCCAAACCAUUAAUUUUUAAAAGUUUGUGCAUUGAAGCUUUUUUACUUGGAUAAUUUCCAGAAUUACUUUUCGCACAUUCUAACAUUCAUGCAUGCAAAAUCUAUAAUUUAAUCAUAAAAAAUUUUCAAGAAAAAUGGGCAUGCAUAUGAUCAACCCAUUUCUAGAUCUACUGACCAAAAAUCAAGGUUUUCACCUUUUUAUUCUUCAACCUUUCAUUGAAAUGGUUUUUACUUUAAUAACACCAAUUUUUUUUCAUUAAUCAAACUUAAGAACUCAUAACUUAACAUUCAAACUCAAAAUCAAAUUUUUAUGAUGAUCAAGUGUUGUUUUCUUGAAAUUACACUCAUAAGGUUUAUGAUCAAGUUUGAAAAAUCAACAUGCAAAUAUUAACUCAAAUAUGCAAAGCUUAUAAAAAAUUAAAUGAAACUUUAAUGCUCAAAACCAUUUUUUAUCAUGAAAAUAAGGAGAAAAAUUGAAACUUUCCUUACUCUCAACAAAUAUGUGGUUCGGCCUUCUACAAAAAUGAGGAGAAGCAAAUUUGUAUUUGUGAAACUAACUAGCUUACUAGAGAGAAGAGAUCAAGAGGAUGAUUUUUGAUUUUGGGAGUUUUGUGUUUUAAGUUAUUGAUCUAGGACAUGCAAGAGGAAGAAG